GGGCCUGUAGCUCACUUGGUAGAGCGCGUCAUUCGCAUUGACGAGGCAGGGGGUUCGAAUCCCCCCAGGUCCACCA
rnacentral:tRNA from 1 species